GACGAACGCUGGCGGCGUGCUUAACACAUGCAAGUCGAACGGAAAGGCCCUGCUUUUGUGGGGUGCUCGAGUGGCGAACGGGUGAGUAACACGUGAGUAACCUGCCCUUGACUUUGGGAUAACUUCAGGAAACUGGGGCUAAUACCGGAUAGGAGCUCCUGCUCCAUGGUGGGGGUUGGAAAGUUUGGGCGGUUGGGGAUGGACUCGCGGCUUAUCAGCUUGUUGGUGGGGUAGUGGCUUACCAAGGCUUUGACGGGUAGCCGGCCUGAGAGGGUGACCGGCCACAUUGGGACUGAGAUACGGCCCAGACUCCUACGGGAGGCAGCAGUGGGGGAUAUUGCACAAUGGGCGGAAGCCUGAUGCAGCAACGCCGCGUGCGGGAUGACGGCCUUCGGGUUGUAAACCGCUUUCGCCUGUGACGAAGCGUGAGUGACGGUAAUGGGUAAAGAAGCACCGGCUAACUACGUG
rnacentral:rRNA from 1 species